UACGUAGGGGGCGAGCGUUGUCCGGAAUCAUUGGGCGUAAAGCGCGUGUAGGCGGCUCGGUAAGUCUGCUGUGAAAGUCCAGGGCUCAACCCUGGGAUGCCGGUGGAUACUGUCGAGCUCGAGUCCGGAAGAGGCGAGUGGAAUUCCUGGUGUAGCGGUGAAAUGCGCAGAUAUCAGGAGGAACACCAAUGGCGAAGGCAGCUCGCUGGGACGGUACUGACGCUGAGGCGCGAAAGCGUGGGGAGCGAACAGG
rnacentral:rRNA from 1 species